rnacentral:lncRNA from 1 species
CGAACGGUGCAGUUUCUGUUAAAUCACUACGAAAAGUCAAGGACAGACAACUUCUAAUUUUACAAGAAGUCAGCAUUUUUGCAUAUUCUGUCUUUUGAAUACUAUUUUGUGUGGACAUAGGGAAAUCUGUAAGAACAGAUAUUAAUAGUAGCGUGUUUGUGUGUAAAACCCAUUACAUUAACUGCUUGAUAAACGAAUUAGGUAUUGACAAUUCACUUGGAAACCCAACAUAUACCCUCACGA